GAUGAGGCGUUAGAAAGAAUUCCGUAAACUACAAAACACUCUGAUAGUGAAGGGUUACCCUUUCCUGUGGGAGCUCCAAGGGGACAUAGGAAGUGGAGGAGGGGUAAAUCUAAGGGGCUGAUGAAGGCUGCAGCCAUGAGGGGACAGAUGAGGCAGGAAGAGAGAAGUCCCCAGAGGCAGAGGACACCUGGACCAGAGCUCCUGCCGACUGGGUCUCAGGGGGGCUAACCCAGCAGAGGGAGAGAAAAGCUUGCCUGGAGGUAUGCAUGUGCCCAAACCGAGGCAGCAGGCUGAGAGCUGAGAGGGAAAACAACUCAACUGAAUAAUAGCAGCCAUGUGCCUGGGGCUGGCUAAAGGCCAGGUGCUGAGCUUUCCAUGCUCAUUUAAUUCACCAACAAUUCUGUAAGGCAGAUGCUAUUACUAUCCUCAUUUUACAGAGGGGAGAAUGAGGUUCUAUGAGUAAAAGACAAUUCUAAAAAUUUUCACAGCCAGGAAAUGGCAGAAUAUGGAUUCAAAUCUAGAUUUCUCAAAAUCCAAAGCCCAUGCCAGCAAGACAGAGUUAAGGUUUUGUUUUGUUUUAAUGAUCUUUUAUGACAAGGAGGAGACAGUCGGACGAACCUACUGUGAGACAGUCUGUGAAGCCAAGGGUUCAAAGAACCAGGGAGAGCAGAACAGAGUGGGUGGGAAAGUAAGUCAGAAGGCCCAGGUGAGCAUCUGAGACGGGCGCAAUCCAUCCUGUCUGUGGAACGGCUCAUGGGUGGGCAGGAUAUGUUUAAAGGGCUGUGAACCGAGCAGCCACCUGCAGCCUGUUCUUAUGUGGGGACCAGCAAGUCUUCAUCUUGGGUUCACGUGCUCUUUUCAUUGUAAUUAAUAGAAUUAAUGAAUGAUGUAGACCACCAUUCACCAAAGUGGGUUACACGGGACAUUAGUUCUAAAGGAAGCUAAUGGAUAUGACUUGGAAAAAAAUGGUCAAUCAAAUUCACUGCAAUUAAAUUUAAUAUAUUUAUUGAGUUGAAUCCACACAGGGCUAUGAACUACAAAAUCAAUCAUGAACAACACAGGCAAAGUCCCUGUCCUCUUGGAGCUUGUAGACUAACAGUCAAGGUAAGUUUGGGAAAUAGUGCAUCAAAGUGAUAAAGGUUUCUUUAGCAAACAUUUCAGGGUCUUAUUAUAUUAUGUUAACAAGCUUUGCAACUUUCUAAGAGUAGGGUAGAGAAUACAAGGAUUGCCCCCAGAUAAUCUGGUCAUGGGUCCUAUUUUAUUGCCAUAAGGUCUCUUCCCAUGGUGACAGGGCUGGUAUUUUGCAACACAAGCUCGGGGAAAUCUCUGGGGCAGACAAAGACUCACAAGCUCCACCUCUGCCUUUAUUCAUUUCACCACAAUAUUAGUAGUGUGACAUAAGGGAUGGUGGAUGACAUUAAAACCCAGAACAUGGCAUCCAGGUGGUGCAAGUAUGGAGGACUGUGGCCCCAUGGGUGGACACCAAGGGAUGCCCGAUGCUCUACACUGAACUCUAACAGAGUCAAGGUCACCUGGAAAUUACUGUAGGCGUUACAUAACAGCUGGGGCUGCAGGGAACACCUAUACAAGAGGGCAUGACAGCUAGACAAUGGAGUCCUGGGUAAAAUGGAGUCAUUCAUGAGCUGUGUGAGAGGCGGCUCUGUUCCCAGCUUGGCUCCCUGGGAAAUGAAGUGUGCUGCAGACAAAGAGGGAAACUUUACCCUCUCGCAGGGUUCCCACAGGGGCAGGCUCACAGUAAAACAAGGCACUCGUUGGCCCAGAGGAGAAAAGGCAACCUUAUCCAUAGACUUUGCUCUCUCUCUCUCUCUCCCAGAUUGUGGUCUUGUGCCAAACCCACAAGAAUAAUCUCCCAGCAAGAACAGCAAAGCUAACUUGCUGUGGGCCCGAAACAGCAGAGCCGGAGGGUAUGCAUGAAAGGCAGCAGAGCAACAGCCAGUGAAUGUUCCAAGAGCAGAUGGGAGAGAUCUAAGGUCCGCAGAGAUCUCCCUGUCACCGGAACCCUGAAAUUCAGCUGAGGUGUCCAGUCCCAGGAAGACCUCUCAAACUGAAACAGGAAUUUGCCUCUUAUAGCCUUCCGCACCCUGUGCACCUCACUUCCCUCCUUGUAACUGUCCGUCUUCUCCACUGGAUGGCGAGCUUCUUGGGGACAAGGACUGAGUUUUCUUCUCUAUGGCCUCACAGAAUAAUAAAAUACAAUAAACCUAA